AAUUCUCAAACCUCAAUGGCUUUAUUGACAUUGAGGCUUUGGAUGUGGGGGUUGCUGGACUCUAACGAGCUCAGCUCUCCUUAAAUGCAUUAGUGGUUACUGUUUCCCACUUCCUGGUGUGAUAAUAUCUACGCCUAGUGGGAAUGUUAAGUGUAGCUGCUUUCGAACCGUCCAUGAAAUGUGGACAACUUGAACC
rnacentral:misc_RNA from 1 species